rnacentral:tRNA from 1 species
GCCAGUUUGGCUCAGUGGAUAGAGCGUCAGCUUGUGAACUGAAGGAUCCUGGGUUCGACUCCGGUAAAGGCA